rnacentral:rRNA from 1 species
ACGAACGCUGGCGGCGUGCUUAACACAUGCAAGUCGAACGAUGAAGCCAGCUUGCUGGUGGAUUAGUGGCGAACGGGUGAGUAACACGUGGGCAACCUGCCCUCAGCUCUGGGAUAACUCCAAGAAAUUGGUGCUAAUACCGGAUAUUCAUUCAGCCUCGCAUGGGGUUGUGUGGAAAGUUUUUCGGCUGGGGAUGGGCCCGCGGCCUAUCAGCUUGUUGGUGGGGUGAUGGCCUACCAAGGCGACGACGGGUAGCCGGCCUGAGAGGGUGACCGGCCACACUGGGACUGAGACACGGCCCAGACUCCUACGGGAGGCAGCAGUGGGGAAUAUUGCGCAAUGGGCGGAAGCCUGACGCAGCGACGCCGCGUGAGGGAUGACGGCCUUCGGGUUGUAAACCUCUUUCAGCAGGGACGAAGCGAAAGUGACGGUACCUGCAGAAGAAGCACCGGCCAACUACGU